rnacentral:rRNA from 1 species
UACGAAGGGGGCUAGCGUUGCUCGGAAUUACUGGGCGUAAAGAGUGUGUAGGCGGUGUUCUAAGUUUGUCGUGAAAUCUCCCGGCUCAACUGGGAGGGUGCGCCGAAUACUGAGGGACUAGAGUACGGGAGAGGAAAGUGGAAUUCCUGGUGUAGCGGUGAAAUGCGUAGAUAUCAGGAGGAACACCGGUGGUGUAGACGGCUUUCUGGACCGACACUGACGCUGAGACACGAAAGCGUGGGUAGCAAACAGG